CGAUGCUACUAGAGAAUCCACAGACCACACACCUGAACACACACACAAAAAAGCUGCCUUUGAUGGCCACCAAGGCCCCGAGCUGCUCCACCCGCUUCAGAUCUCCGGCCAGCGCCGUUUGGUUCCUGCCGGCCGCCGUCUUCAUCCUCCUGCUCCUCCUUCUGCGCCGCCCGACCAUGGACCCCUAUGCUCCCGCUUCUCCUCGUGGUCCCGUGUCUUCCCGGCGCGCCGAUCUGUACGGCAGGAUGGCUCGGGACCUUGAUGAGCGCGGCGCGGCGUUCUUGAAGGGCGGCGAGACGUCGCAGUCCCUCACGCUCUCGGACCUCUUCGACGUCAGGGACGGCGCCGUCGUGCCCAAGCUCAAGGCCGCCGACCCGCCGGUGCGUGCAAACGUGCUCUACCUGGAGCCGGUGUUCGCCGCCGAGAUAGCGAAGGCUGUGAAGGAAGUAUUUCUUCCUUAUUUUGAUAAAGGUAAGGUUUAUGUUCAGUGCAUUUAAUAGUUACUCUCUCCUUCGGUAUUAAUUUCUGGUAUGGAUAAAAUAGAUAUUACCGCAUCUUUUAUAUUGCUUGGUCAAUCUAUACUAUACUUCAUUAAUUUGUAUCAUAAAGCUGCACACUUGUGUAAGUACUGCUUGAUGUUGAUUUGCUUUGCUCGGUCAUUUCUUAUUGCCAGCUAUCUGGUUCCAAAAUUUGAGCAUGUAUCACUUCAGUAUGUUUCAUGCCUCCCAUCAUCUGGAGCCAAUCUUAGCAACCAAGGAUGAGGUAAUUAAAUCAUCUAAUUUGUAUUUAUGUGAGCAUGGGAUUACAGCUUUUUAGGUGAUGUAUCUAUGCGUGGUAUUGUUGAGAUUGAAGCCGAAGUCGAUGCUGUAAAAGGAGUUACUGAGGCUGUUUGUCCCCUUAAAAUUUCCUUGGAUCGAGUGGUUUUGACGUCAACUGGAGUUCUUCUUGGCCUGUGGCAGGUUGAAUCUGGUACUGAUCCUGCCGACAUCCGCUCAAAAUUGAGAGAAGCUCUACCUCGAGCACCCCAAAAGCAGUUGUAUGAUCCUGUUCUCCUCCACACAUCCUUUGCGCGAAUUCUGGGACCUCCUAAGCUCCCACAACAGGAGGACACAUCAUCUUUCAGUCACAUCAAAUUCUUCCAUGACCUCGUUGCACAGGUUAAUGGGAAAAUCCGUGGCUUCCAGGCAAAGGUAUCAGAGCUGUGGUAUGUAGAGGAGUACGAUGUGCUAGCCCUAGCACUGAAUGGAAAGAUGAGAGUGCGGAGGCUCCACCUUGGCUGCAAUGAGGGCCAAGAUAACUGAUGACAGUAAAGAGAACACCACCAGGGUAUCAGUGCGCAAUGCAUCGUCUCUAUGAGUUAGCAAUGCUUGGGAGUGCCUCUAUGAUUAACAUAUACUAGUGUGUGCCUGUAGCGUGGGUUUGUGAGCCGCGCUACUACUACUUCACAGUAGCAUUGGGUAGGGAUCUACCUAUAAGGUAUUUCCUCGUAGUGUUUUGCAGUGAGCUGCUUAUUUUUUACUCAGCAAACCUUUUGCCGAGUAGCUGACAAAUAACACUCAGCUUAUGUCGUUAUGCCUACCAGGAGUACGCCGAGUCCUUUUUGUCGAGUGUAACACCCGAUAACUUUUUGCCAAGGUUGAAUUUAGCCUUCACCGUGCAGUCUUCGUACUUGACUUGCGCGGUUUUUCCUAUAAUGAAAGAGAGGAAGUGUCGAUAGCAAUGGAUCGCUCGAUCAAAAUGAGACGACAAGGAUCCCAUCACGCUGGUGGAUGACCGAACAGCUGCCAUGUCAUUUAUGCGUGUGACCGAACAGCUGGCGUUGCGUCGCGUCCGUGUCCAGGGUUGUUUAUUUGCGUAGGACUGUCGGGGGAUAAUUCGAUCGAGUAGGAGUUGUUACGUGGAAGAGGAGCUAGCUGGGUGAUCCUUUGGCUAGGUGAUGAGGAAGAAAUUGACACGGCCGGCCGUUGUAUGGGAGCACGGCAGAGAUGGAGUUCGAUAAGGUCUGCACCCAAAUCAGAAGGUUUGGCCACCCUUAACAAUAUCCUCAUCGGAUAUAACUAGCAAAAGGGCCCGUGCAUUGCAACGAAAAAAAAAUGAUAAUCUUCAAUGGCCAUGAUCAUAUUUUGCUGCA